rnacentral:rRNA from 1 species
UAGCUAGUUGGUAAGGUAACGGCUUACCAAGGCGACGAUGCGUAGCCGACCUGAGAGGGUGAUCGGCCACACUGGAACUGAGACACGGUCCAGACUCCUACGGGAGGCAGCAGUAGGGAAUCUUCCGCAAUGGGCGAAAGCCUGACGGAGCAACGCCGCGUGUGCGAAGAAGGUCUUCGGAUCGUAAAGCACUGUUGUUAAGGAAGAACGACAGUAAGAGUAACUGCUUACUGUGUGACGGUACUUAACCAGAAAGCCACGGCUAACUACGUGCCAGCAGCCGCGGUAAUACGUAGGUGGCAAGCGUUAUCCGGAAUUAUUGGGCGUAAAGCGCGCGUAGGCGGCGAGAUUAGUCUGAUGUGAAAGCCCCCGGCUCAACCGGGGAAGGUCAUUGGAAACUGUUUCGCUUGAGUGCAGAAGAGGAGAGUGGAAUUCCAUGUGUAGCGGUGAAAUGCGCAGAGAUAUGGAGGAACACCAGUGGCGAAGGCGGCUCUCUGGUCUGCAACUGACGCUGAUGUGCGAAAGCGUGGGGAUCAAACAGGAUUAGAUACCCUGGUAGUCCACGCCGUAAACGAUGAGUGCUAAGUGUUAGGGGGUUUCCGCCCCUUAGUGCUGCAGCAAACGCA